rnacentral:tRNA from 1 species
AUUAGGUUAGCAAAAAGUGCAAAUAAUUUAGAAUUAUUAAAUAAGAGUCCAUCUUACCUAAU